rnacentral:rRNA from 1 species
AGCAGCCGCGGUAAUUCCAGCUCCAAUAGCGUAUAUUAAAGUUGUUGUGGUUAAAAAGCUCGUAGUUGAACCUUGGGCCUGGCUGGCCGGUCCGCCUCACCGCGUGUACUGGUCCGGCCGGGUCUUUCCCUCUGUGGAACCCCAUGCCCUUCACUGGGUGUGGCGGGGAAACAGGACUUUUACUUUGAAAAAAUUAGAGUGCUCCAGGCAGGCCUAUGCUCGAAUACAUUAGCAUGGAAUAAUGAAAUAGGACGUGCGGUUCUAUUUUGUUGGUUUCUAGGACCGCCGUAAUGAUUAACAGGGACAGUCGGGGGCAUUCGUAUUUCAUAGUCAGAGGUGAAAUUCUUGGAUUUAUGAAAGACUAACUUCUGCGAAAGCAUUUGCCAAGGAUGUUUUCAUUAAUCAAGAACGAAAGUUAGGGGAUCGAAGACGAUCAGAUACCGUCGUAGUCUUAACCAUAAACUAUGCCGACUAGGGGUCGGAUGAUGUUAAUUUUUAAAUGACUCA